GGAGGAAAGCAGGGGAUCGCAAGACCUUGCGCUUUUGGAGCGGCCGAUGCCUGAUUAGCUUGUUGGUGAGGUAAAAGCUCACCAAGGCUUCGAUCAGUAGCUGGUCUGAGAGGACGACCAGCCACACUGGGACUGAGACACGGCCCAGACUCCUACGGGAGGCAGCAGUGGGGAAUUUUGGACAAUGGGGGCAACCCUGAUCCAGCCAUGCCGCGUGAGUGAAGAAGGCCUUCGGGUUGUAAAGCUCUUUCAGCCGGAACGAAACGGUUACGGUUAAUACCCGUGACUACUGACGGUACCGGAAGAAGAAGCACCGGCUAACUACGUGCCAGCAGCCGCGGUAAUACGUAGGGUGCAAGCGUUAAUCGGAAUUACUGGGCGUAAAGCGUGCGCAGGUGGUUUUGUAAGUCAGAUGUGAAAUCCCCGGGCUUAACCUGGGAACUGCGUUUGAAACUACAAAGCUAG
rnacentral:rRNA from 1 species